rnacentral:misc_RNA from 1 species
GGUUGAGCCAAGAAAGAUGAGCAUAUACCGAGAAGAGGCAAUAGAUAAUCUUAUUUCAUGCCUGGGAAAGUAUGAAUUUCCUGUUGCUCAAAUAGCUGCAGCACAUACAAUUAUGUCUUUGCAAGGAAGGUUUACUGCCUCAGGAAAGUCUCUUGGUCGAGCUUUUCUUCUUAAACGUGCUGGACAUAGCAAAAGUUACAGAUAUCUUAUGCGCAUGGAUCAGCUUGGCAACUUGUCUGGAGAAAUUGAAGAAACAUUGGAAGAAGAGAGGGCGGCUGAAGAGUGGGAAAGAAAAAUGGCCUUCGCUCUAGUAAGCCAUGAGUUUGGUUUAGUCUUUGAGGCUUUAGCAGAAGGAUUGAAGAGCAGAAACGCAGAGUUAUGCUCAGCGUGCUUUGUGUCAGCAACAUGGCUAGUAUACAUGCUUGGUGUUCUUCCUGACACAGGGAUACGAGGAGCAGCCCGAGUUUGCCUGCUCAAGCGCUUUGUUACAAUUUUUAAGUCUGCAAAGGACACUGAAGACAGAGUCCUUUCAUUGCUU